UACGGAGGGUGCAAGCGUUAUCCGGAAUCGUUGGGUUUAAAGGGUCCGCAGGCGGAUUUAUAAGUCAGUGGUGAAAGCCUGAUGCUCAACAUCAGAACUGCCAUUGAUACUGUAAGUCUUGAAUUCGAUCGAAGUGGGCGGAAUAUGACAUGUAGCGGUGAAAUGCUUAGAUAUGUCAUAGAACGCCGAUAGCGAAGGCAGCUCACUAGGUCUGGAUUGACGCUCAGGGACGAAAGCGUGGGGAGCAAACAGG
rnacentral:rRNA from 1 species